rnacentral:rRNA from 1 species
UACGUAGGGGGCAAGCGUUGUCCGGAUUUACUGGGCGUAAAGAGCGUGUAGGCGGCCAAGCAGGUCCGUUGUGAAAACUGGAGGCUUAACCUCCAGACGUCGACGGAAACCGCGUGGCUAGAGUCCGGAAGAGGGAGAGUGGAAUUCCGUGGUGUAGCGGUGAAAUGCGCAGAUAUCAGGAAGAACACCAAUGGCGAAGGCAGCUCUCUGGGACGGUACUGACGCUGAGACGCGAAAGCGUGGGGAGCGAACAGG